GAAGGCCUCAGAGAACCAGGAAUGGAAGACAGAAGAGAGAUUGCCAGGAACCAUUUCUAAAUUUUAAUUCUUUGAAUGAACAGAAACUGAGAAAGGUUAAGAAAUGUGUCCAGAUGCAUAUAGUUGCUCUAUGGUUCCGAAUGCAAGUGGAGAAAAGGGCAGCCGGCAUGUGGGAAGACUGAAAGGCAAAGCUCA